GCUCGUCUUGGAUCCAAGUAGGUGGAUGUCGUACAGACCAUGCGAGGGUUCCGACAUGCUAGUCGUACAGAUCACUAGGCGUGAUUCGACUAGUGGGUGACCUUAGUUAUGCGCUGAUGAUAUGAUGAGAGAAGCACUAGAGCGUAUUUUUACACCUUCAUCGUAUAGACUACCUUACGUAGUUCCGAGUGAUGUGCAGAGUAGGGCGUAUAGGUCACUGUGGUGACUCGGCUUAGUGAGAUAUUGAGCUAUUGAAUUAAUCGUAUAGGACCAACUGCAGGGUCUCCGAUUGAUUCCUUAUUUUCACCUGAUUUAUAUUUUGAUUAUGGCAUGGC
rnacentral:lncRNA from 1 species